AAGAUGAAAAGAACUUUGAAAAAAGAGUCAAAGAGUGCUUGAAAUUGUCGGGAGGGAAGCGGAUGGGGGUCGGCGAUGCGUCCCGGUCGGAUGUGGAACGGCGACGAGCCGGUCCGCCGAUCGACUCGGGGCGUGGACCAGCACGAAUUGAGGCGGCGGCCAAAGCCCGGGCAGUCGACAUGCCCGCGGAAUGCCGUCGCCCCGAUUGUGGCGGACAGCGCGCGCCCUCGGCGUGCCUCGGCAUCUGCGCGCUCCCGGUGCUGGCCUGCGGGCUCCCCAUUCGACCCGUCUUGUAACACGGACCAAGG
rnacentral:rRNA from 16 species